ensembl:snRNA U2 U2 spliceosomal RNA
AUCGCUUCUCGGCCUUUUGGCUAAGCUCAAGUGUAGUAUCAAGUGAAGAAUAACCAAAACCUAGAGACAGUCCAGAUGUCUAUCAAGUAUAUUUAUGGAGGUAAUUUGUAUAAUAGAAUACAAGUAGGCAAUGGAAACCAAUGGAUUGAUGCUAGACACAGCAACAUGA